CCUUGUACACACCGCCCGUCACACCAUGGGAGUUGGUUCUACCUUAAGCUGGUGCGCUAACCGUAAGGAGGCAGCCAACCACGGUAGGGUCAGCGACUGGGGUG
rnacentral:rRNA from 1 species